rnacentral:miRNA from 1 species
UGAGGCAGGAGAAUUGCUUGAACCCAGGAGGCGGAGGUUGCAGUGAGCAGAGAUCGCGCCACUGUACUCCAGCCUGGGUGACAAGAGCAAGAAUCCAUCUCA